rnacentral:lncRNA from 1 species
CAACCAGUCAGCUGCGCACUAGAUUCAUCAUCCAGCACGGCACUCCUGCAUUGUCAUUACGAGAAGUAAUUUAAGCAAGACAGGUGGUGAAAAUAACCACAAGACAAACAGUAUAACCAGAUCGCACUUGCAUAGGGGUAUUCUUCUUCACCCAGAACUUGGGGCGCAAGGGCGGUGGUGGCACCGAUACAUCCCCACUAGACCCCCCACGGAUCUUCACCUUCAAUGUCUCCUUGACAUGCUCCGCAUCGGUCAUGGUCAUCUCAAGGAGCUCGGACUUCUUCUUUGCAGGCGGGCUUAGCAUGUCGGACUCCUCGUCCGCUUUGCUGGCCGACCUGGCCGUGGAGGCUACGCUCAAGGCAGCCUUCUCCUUCUCCUUCCCUUUCUUCCCGGCCAUCUUC